UACGUAGGGGGCUAGCGUUGUUCGGAUUUACUGGGCGUAAAGCGCACGUAGGCGGAUCGUUAAGUCGGGGGUGAAAUCCUGGAGCUCAACUCCAGAACUGCCUUUGAUACUGAAGAUCUUGAGUUCGGGAGAGGUGAGUGGAACUGCGAGUGUAGAGGUGAAAUUCGUAGAUAUUCGCAAGAACACCAGUGGCGAAGGCGGCUCACUGGCCCGAUACUGACGCUGAGGAGCGAAAGCGUGGGGAGCGAACAGG
rnacentral:rRNA from 1 species